rnacentral:rRNA from 2 species
AAAUUGAAGAGUUUGAUCAUGGCUCAGAUUGAACGCUGGCGGCAGGCCUAACACAUGCAAGUCGAACGGUAACAGGAAGAAGCUUGCUUCUUUGCUGACGAGUGGCGGACGGGUGAGUAAUGUCUGGGAAACUGCCU